rnacentral:tRNA from 1 species
GCACCAGUAGUUCAGUGGUUAGAGCUCCGGCCUUGUGCACCAGAGGUGGUGGGUUCAAACCCAGCCUGGGCCU